UCACGGAUUCUGUCAUUGUUCU
rnacentral:siRNA from 1 species